GCUCAGAUGGAGUGCUUGGUUUACAAGAUGAGACCACCUGUGAGGAGGCCCUGCUCUGAGGGGACAGGGUGUAAUGGGAAGCUGAGUGUUUGAAGUGAGAAGCCAGAAAAAAGCUGCCCGGAAGAAGAGGAGGGGAAGAGCACCAUUGCUGCUGGGCUUGAAGGGAGGAGGGCAGUGGGACAGGACAGCAUCGAGCAGGAAAGCAUGAGAUGAAUGAAGAGGAAAGAAAAUAUGGAAGAUGGACACUGAAAAACAUCUAACAAUCACAAAGUUGUUAGAAAUUGAAUAAGUUUUUCUUUUAUGAAUAUAGAGAAGUAAAUCAUGAUGCACAUUUUGCCACCUCAAAAUAGCUAAAAAUGAAAAUAUACUAACAACAAUGGAUAAGGAAUAUUUAAAACUUACUAUGUGUCAUUUUUAUUGUGAUAGCUUUCUUUUCUCGCUUACCAAAUUAUCUGUGUUAGAAAGCAAUUCCACCACAGCAUUAUCACACUUGGAGGAUUGUAAAAAACCAACAUUAUCAGUAGCUUAUGCAAGAGAUUACUGUGAAAUCCCAUAGCAAGGUUUUAAAUGUAAUUAAGACUGUGGAAUAUCAGGAACUUCAGUAGUGUUUUUGCAUAGGACUGAAUACCGAAAGCAAACACUUAAGUUUAUGAUUUCUGUAUCACUUCAAAAGCACAAUCUGUUUUUACUAAUUCUACAAGAAGUGUUGAUAUCAUAUUUAUAUUUUAAUGUCUGCUGAUAACUAGUUAUUAUUUCAGUCAGUAGAAUAAACAGCUGGAUCAUCUAGGGUUAGUAGUCAUAGACACAGGUCUGAGAACCGCCUUGGGGACGUUGGUCUCUGGAAAUGGCACGUGAAUGAUGUGGUCCUUAUAAUUCAGAAUCUACAGUUAAAACCUUUUGCUUGGAUAAUAUAAAAGAAAAUAAUCCAGCACACAAACUACCAACUCACUUGAUUAUAGCUGCAACAAGAAAAAAAGCUACAUAUGCCAUGCCGUCAGAGACAGGGAAUAUUAACAGAUAUUUACCCAGUCAGCCUCACUUGUGUCACUGGAAAGAUGACAGACAAUUUGUUCUGGAUGCCAUUUCCAAGUAAUUGGAAGAGAAGGUUCUCAGGAGUAGUCAUCAUGGAGUCACUAGGGGGACAUCAUGUUUGAUCAACCUGAUAGCCUUCUGUGAUGUCAUAACUGGCUGGGAGAGCAGUGGAUGUUGUGUACUUUGACUUCAGUGAGAUGUUUGACACCGCCUCCCACAGCAUCCUUGUUAUGAAACUUUGAAAAUGUGGGAUAGAGGAGUAGGCAGGGGGGUGGGUUGACAACUGGCUAAUCCAGAACUAGAAAGCGAUAUUAGUUAAAACCAAGUUUAGUGUGAGCAUUCUCAUUAAGUCCAUGGAUAAAAACCAGGCACAGUUAUGUAACUAAAUGUUCAAUCUUAAAUUCAUUGAUUUCAAACACCACUGCAUCUGUUGGGAUGUGAAUGAAAUCUCUUCAUAAAUGCAAUCAUUUGUGAGCAGAAAGCCAGUAUUUCAGAUGCAUUUCAGUUUCUAGUAUGUUGUGUGAAAGCAAAAUUCUGCGAAGAAACUAUGAAUUUGAGCGAAACUACCUCUGUC
ensembl:lncRNA